rnacentral:rRNA from 1 species
AGUGAACGCUGGCGGUAGGCCUAACACAUGCAAGUCGAACGGCAGCACAGUAAGAGCUUGCUCUUACGGGUGGCGAGUGGCGGACGGGUGAGGAAUACAUCGGAAUCUACUUUUUCGUGGGGGAUAACGUAGGGAAACUUACGCUAAUACCGCAUACGACCUACGGGUGAAAGCAGGGGAUCUUCGGACCUUGCGCGAUUGAAUGAGCCGAUGUCGGAUUAGCUAGUUGGCGGGGUAAAGGCCCACCAAGGCGACGAUCCGUAGCUGGUCUGAGAGGAUGAACAGCCACACGGGAACUGGGGAACGGGCCAGCCCCCUAGGGGGGGCAGCAGGGGGAAAAUUUGGAAAAUGGGGCCAAGCCUGUUCCACCCAUACCGGGUGGGUGAAGAAGGCCUGCGGGUUGUAAAGCCCUUUUUUGGGGAAAGAAAAGCAGCGGGUUAACCCCCCGUUGUUCGGAGGGUACCAAAAAAAUAAACACCGGCGAAUUUCGU